GACGAACGCUGGCGGCGUGCUUAACACAUGCAAGUCGAACGGAAAGGCCCUGCUUUUGUGGGGUGCUCGAGUGGCGAACGGGUGAGUAACACGUGAGUAACCUGCCCUUGACUUUGGGAUAACUUCAGGAAACUGGGGCUAAUACCGGAUAGGAGCUCCUGCUGCAUGGUGGGGGUUGGAAAGUUUCGGCGGUCGGGGAUGGACUGGCGGCUUAUCAGCUUGCUGGUUGGGUAGUGGCUUACCAAGGCUUUGACGGGUAGCCGGCCUGGGAGGGUGACCGGCGACAUGAGGACUGAGAUACGGCGCAGACUGCUACGGGAGGCAGCAGUGGGGAAUAUUGCACAAUGGGCGGGAGCCUGAUGCAGCAACGCCGCGUGCGGGAUGACGGCCUUCGGGUUGUAAACCGCUGUCGCCUGUGACGAAGCGUGAGUGACGGUAAUGGGUAAAGAAGCACCGGCUAACUACGUG
rnacentral:rRNA from 1 species